rnacentral:lncRNA from 1 species
CUCCAACUGCUCAUCGGAGCAAGCUGCAGCCUGGACACAAGCUAGAGAUUAAUCAGUCAGGAAUGAUCCUGCGUCCAGUGCCAGCAUGAUGGAAGAGACAGAGAAACAGAAGACAUCAGGGCUCCAGAGUCAAGGAGCCUGCAGGGAGGAAACUGGAGGACCGAGCUCAGAACGCAUUUUAGAACUGGCAGAAAAGAACAUCUGGGGAAGGAAACACAUUUCAGAAACAAACAUACCUUUGUACCAGCUUUUAUUUUCUUUAAGUGUUGAAAAAAUAAUAAUAAUAAAGACAUGCCAAAUUUAUCAUCGCUCUACAAAAUCCCUUUAUUGAGCAAAACGUGGCAGCUCUACUUUCAAAUGAUCUACUGUUCCUGGAAAAUUGCAGCAACGUGGAUGCCAAGGCCCG